CGGGGCUACUGCUCUGUAAUUGGCAUGGGGGCGACCUUCACCCUCGCCCGAGUACCCAUUGGAGGGCAAGUCUGGUGCCAGCAGCCGCGGUAAUUCCAGCUCCAAUAGCGUAUAUUAAACUUGUUGCAGUUAAAAAGCUCGUAGUUGUACUUUAUGUCCCUCGCGUGGUCCUUCCUCGCUAGGACGCCUCGUUACUUUGAGAAAAUUAGAGUGUUUCAAGCAGGUUUCGCCUGUAUAAUUGAGCAUGGAAUAACCUUGUAUGACCCUGUCGUACCGUUGGUUGACUUUGGGUAAUGGUUAAUAGGAACGGUUGGGGGCAUUCGUACUCGACUGUCAGAGGUGAAAUUCUUAGAUUUGUCGAUGACGCACGACUGCGAAAGCAUUUGCCAAGGACGCUUCCAUUAAUCAAGAAC
rnacentral:rRNA from 1 species